UGGGGAAUAUUGGACAAUGGGCGCAAGCCUGAUCCAGCAAUGCCGCGUGUGUGAAGAAGGCCUUCGGGUUGUAAAGCACUUUUAUCAGGAGCGAAACGCUGUCGGCUAAUACCCGGCGGAACUGACGGUACCUGAGGAAUAAGCACCGGCUAACUUCGUGCCAGCAGCCGCGGUAAUACGAAGGGUGCAAGCGUUAAUCGGAAUUACUGGGCGUAAAGCGUGCGUAGGCGGUUUCUUAAGUCUGCUGUGAAAUCCCCGGGCUCAACCUGGGAAUGGCAGUGGAUACUGGGAGGCUAGAGUGUGUCAGAGGGUGGUGGAAUUCCCGGUGUAGCGGUGAAAUGCGUAGAGAUCGGGAGGAACAUCAGUGGCGAAGGCGGCCACCUGGGACAACACUGACGCUGAGGCACGAAAGCGUGGGGAGCAAACAGGAUUAGAUACCCUGGUAGUCCACGCCCUAAACGAUGCGAACUGGAUGUUGGUCUCAACUCGGAGAUCAGUGUCGAAGCUACGCGUUAAGUUCGCCGCCUGGGGAGUACGGUCGCAAGACUGAAACUCAAAUGAAUUGACGGGGUCAUAGCUGUUUCC
rnacentral:rRNA from 1 species